CCCCCAGGACGAUCUGCACGUGGUGGACACUCUGGAGCUGCCCAGCGCUGACCCCCGGUACCUGCAGGACCUGGCCCAGUUCCGGCACUGGGGACACUCCGUGCUCAUCGUGGACGUUGAUGAGUUCCCGGAGAACAUCAGCGCCGCCGCCGAGGGGCUCAAAAGCAUCAACCUGAUCCCGGCCCUGGGUCUGAACGUGCACAGCCUGCUCAAACACCGCACGCUGGUGCUGUCCCUGGGCACUCAGGGACACCCUGGGGACACUGGGGACAC